ACAACAUUUAAUUGGGCCUAGCUUACAGGUUCAGAAGUUCAGAACAUUAUCAUAACGGCAUCAUAAUGGCAGGAAGCAUGGCAGAGUCUAGACAGACAUGGUUCUGAAGAAGAAGCCAAGAGUUCUACAUUUUGAUCAGAAGACAGUCAGGAAAAGACUCUCUUCCAGGCAGCUAGGAGGAGGGUCUCAAAGCCCACCCCCACAUUAACACAUUUCCUCUAACAAGGCCACAGCCACUCCAAAACCGGCCACAUCUCCUAAGAGUACCACUCCCUGGUCCAAAAAUAUUCAAACCACCACCUCUUCUAGCAUCUGUUGCUCUGAACUGCCUCAGAUUUUGAAGUCUGUCUUGAAGAAAGACUUUCAGGGAAAACUCUCGGGUUAGAACUGGAUGAGGAGGGAGCAUCUGAAGGGCACCAAUCCAUAGAGCAAAGGAACUGGCUCAAAAGAGGAUGGAGAGAGCACUGUGAACCUGCCCUGGAAGCACUGCCUCCUAGGGCUGGAGAUCCUCCUCCCCAGGUUCCGAGAAGAUGGAAUGACGCACACAGACCGCUUAUCCAGCACUCGGCGCACACUAAGAAAAAACAUCUAGAAGUUGAUGAUGAUUUCCCAAGAUUACAAAAGCUAAUCUUUUAGUUAUUAGACACAAGGGACACACCCAUGGUUCUCUUACAGACUUUUUCUUGUUUCUACUCUGUGUCCAAGGUCCCCUCGGUAAGGCUGUGAUAGCAUUCCUCUAAAAAGUCUCAUUAGGGGCGCCCUGAGUGCCUGAAAUGGAAGCUACAUUCUUCCAGAGCCUCUCACACAUGUUGAAGCUUCCGAUUGGUCUUGUUUGAAAUGAAUUUGCAGACACUGCCUUUACUCCAUACUAAGCAUAGGAGAGAAAAAUGGCCAGUGUCUCUGGGGAAUAAUUAACAAAAGACAGUUUGUUUCAUCUUCAUGAUAAAAUACAGCAUCCCUACUAAAAGGCAAAUUCAUCAUUCCCCAAAGUUAAAUAGAAUGGCACUUUAAAAGUAAUUCCAGCUGAUUAAAUUUAGGAUUCCGGAAAAAAAUUAAUUCAUGAAUAUACUCUGAAUCUUUCAUUUGAUUUUAAAAUGUAUAAAUGUUCAUUUAACUUUGAGCCCUUGCCUCUCAGUGUUCUAUUCUGAGCUAGUCAAACAAGUGGAAGCAGGCCUGCUGGGCUCAAUAAUACUGCCUCUCGUAUUUAAAUACUCUCUUUCACUUGGAUUGCAAAUUAAAGACAGUCUCCUGAACACUGACAUAUUUCCAAUGCCUGACUUCACAACUCGUGUUGAUUUUCCUCCACUGUUUUGCCUCUGUGUGUGUCAACUUUGGCCUCCUUUUCUUGCUCCCCUAAGGCACUGCUGUCUCUUUGAAGCCUUUGUCAGCUUGAUAUGGAAAAAAAAAAAAGUACAUUAAACCUCGUGACUAAUUAUACAGUUAGAAAA